CACGUAGGGGGCGAGCGUUGUCCGGAUUUAUUGGGCGUAAAGAGCUCGUAGGCGGCUCAGUAAGUCAGGUGUGAAAACUCCAGGCUCAACCUGGAGACGCCACCUGAUACUGCUGUGGCUAGAGUCCGGUAGGGGAGCAUGGAAUUCCUGGUGUAGCGGUGAAAUGCGCAGAUAUCAGGAGGAACACCAGUGGCGGAAGGCGGUGCCUCUGGGCCGGAACUGACGCUGGAGGAAGCGAAAGCGUGGGGAGCAAACAGG
rnacentral:rRNA from 1 species